rnacentral:rRNA from 1 species
UACGGAGGAUGCAAGCGUUAUCCGGAUUUAUUGGGUUUAAAGGGUGCGUAGGCGGAUAUGUAAGUCAGCGGUGAAACUCACAUGCUCAACCUGUGCCGUGCCGUUGAAACUGUGUAUCUGGAAUGCGGAUGCUGUGGGAGGAAUGUGUAGUGUAGCGGUGAAAUGCAUAGAUAUUACACAGAACACCGAUUGCGAAGGCAUCUCACAAAGCCGUUAUUGACGCUGAGGCACGAAAGUGUGGGGAU